rnacentral:rRNA from 1 species
UACGUAGGUGGCAAGCGAUACUCGGAAUCACUAGGCGUAAAGCGCAGGUAGGCGGUUUGAUAAGUCUGUUGUGAAAGCUCCCGGCUUAACUGGGAGAGGUCAACGGAAACUGUCAGGCUAGAGUGUGGUAGAGGUAGCUGGAAUUCCCGGUGUAGCGGUGAAAUGCGUAGAGAUUGGGAAGAACAUCCGUGGCGAAAGCGCUCUGCUGGACUGCAACUGACAUUGAGGGACGAAAGCUAGGGGAGCGAAUGGG